UACGUAGGGUGCAAGCGUUAAUCGGAAUCAUUGGGCGUAAAGAGCGCGUAGGCGGUCCGGUAAGUCCGCUCUGAAAGUCCGGGGCUCAACCCCGGGAGGCGGGCGGAUACUGUCGGGCUAGAGUCCGGAAGAGGCGAGUGGAAUUCCUGGUGUAGCGGUGAAAUGCGCAGAUAUCAGGAGGAACACCGAUGGCGAAGGCAGGUCUCUGGGCCACUACUGACGCUGAGAAGCGAAAGCAUGGGGAGCGAACAGG
rnacentral:rRNA from 1 species